rnacentral:rRNA from 1 species
GGCGGACGGGUGCGUAACACGUGGGAAUAUACCUUUGGUUCGGAACAACGCAGGGAAACUUGCGCUAAUACCGAAUGUGCCCUUACGGGGAAAGAUUUAUCGCCAAAGGAUUAGCCCGCGUCCGAUUAGCUAGUUGGUGAGGUAAUGGCUCACCAAGGCUCCGAUCGGUAGCUGUUCUGAGAGGAAGAUCAGCCACACUGGGACUGAGACACGGCCCAGACUCCUACGGGAGGCAGCAGUUGGGAAUCUUGGACAAUGGGGGAAACCCUGAUCCAGCCAUGCCGCGUGAGUGAUGAAGGCCUUCGGGUUGUAAAACUCUUUCGACGGGGACGAUAAUGACGGUACCCGUAGAAGAAGCUCCGGCUAACUUCGUGCCAGCCGCCGCGG